CCAGUAUUUAUAAGUUAGUUAAUCAUAUUUUUGAGUUUUUAGUCAUAUUAUCUUUAAAAUGAAUAAGAGGUUCAAAUUAGAUAAUCUCUAAGAUUUCUUCCAGCAAUAAAAUUCUGCAAUUCUGUAAGUUUGUAUAGGGUCUCAGCCCAUCUCUAGCAUUAGCUACAUCCUAUGCAUUUUCAGUUUUUAAAUUGUAUAGACAAAAUACAGACAGAAAAAAUUUCACAUGGUAAGAAGAUCUGAGCAGUGACUGACACCCAUAUGAACCUUGUUUUAUAAGGGUUUACAUACCAUCUUCUUCUAUUCAGUCUACAGCCAGUAGAUCAAAUCUAACCUAAGGUCUAUUUUUUAAUAGCCUAUUAAGAAUGGUUUUUGCAUUUCUAAAGGACUGUGAAAGAAAAAAGAAAGAGAAAUAUGCGAGAGAGAUCAUAUGUGGCCCACAGAGCCUUAAAAUAUUUACUGUCUGACCUUCACAAAAAACGAUUUGAAAAAGUUGGUUUAGUAGGAUGAAAGGAAUUAAAGUUAACUUCAGAUUGUUGCCUAAAGGAGAAGAAAAUAUAGACCACCUACAUUCAUUUGAACAUCAUUAAUCCAGAAUUUUUUGGUAAUUUAAUCGCAUUAAAUUAACAUUUAAAUAUUUGAAAUCAGCUGAAUUAUAGAAAUAAUAUUAUCAAGAAUAUUAAGCUACCAAGAGAAUAGACUAGUAUUAAGGAUUUCAUUUCAGGAAUUGUUAUAUUAAAACAGAUGUUUAAAAUGAUGGUUAAGUGGUAGAGCUAGAAAUGUUUACAGUAAGAAGCAUAUCAGAAAUGCCCCUAACUCUUCACUAAUUACACAGUAACUAUCUCCCCAGCCCUGUUACCAAGAAAGGGAUACCUGCAUAGUAUUUCUGUCUGUUUAGAGACAAGAAGAUACUAUGUUCAAUUGCUAUGAAAGCUUGAUUCUUAUCCUCUGUCCGCAGAGGUGUGUAUGUCAUUAAUCCUUAUUAGUGAUGCUCUUUUGCAGACAGAUUCUUUCAAAUGUGAAAGGCUUAAGGAAAGUGGGUGUAAAGACCCUCAAGUGGAUGCCAAAGUGCUACAGAGGCCAUGAAAGAUUUAUCCUGCAAUAAAAUACGAUAUAUUGAAAGACAUACAUUUGAAUCACUACCAUUUUUGCAGUAUAUAAAUCUGGGCUGCAAUUUAAUUACAGAACUGAGCCUUGGAACAUUUCAGGCCUGGCACGGAAUGCAGUUUUUACACAACUUGUAAGUGAAAUAGAAGAUGAAUACGUGUAAACAACUAUUUUGUAUAAAAACUCAUACAAUUAUUGGUUAGCUGGGUAUAAGCCCAUUAUGAACUCUGAAAAGUGUGUCUUAAGAUCCAUUCGUUUUUCUCAAAUGGGGAAACUAAGGUAC